GAUUCAAAUACACUUAUUUGCCAACAGUGAUUUUUCUCGUUGGUCUAUGAACUCCGGCGGAAGAGAGUGUCUGCCGCAGGUGCGGCUGAACUAUAGCAACAUGCGCCUGUAGCCAUGGCCGGUCCAACCUCAGUGGGGCAAGAGGAGGACUUUGCAAUGCUCAUGGGACACAGAGAGCCUAACUGCCUUGGGAGCUGUGUAGCAGGCUGGCGGCGGCUGCGAACACUGGGUACUCCACGUGAGAACAUUUUCAUCUGAGAACAUUGUCAUCUAUUUCUGUUACUCAUUCUCUUGGCAAAUUUUCACUGUCUUGAGAAGCUAAUUUCAUAGAAAUCAAAUAAUAAAACAGGACAGAUUGAAAACAAGGGUUUUCUUACAUAAAUAUCACGUAUUUAAUUCAUUCUGACACUAAUAAUUUAUUUAGAACUCUAUUAGAAAGUGGACCUUGCUGACUAAGAUUGCACAGCCUUCAAAGCCUCGUGCAAAUUCUAAAUUGUAAAAAAUGUUUUCCCAUCUCCCCUUACUCCCUUCCCCUCCGUGUCAGGUUUUAUUUGAGGUUAAAAUAUCCAUUUUUUCUGUUUUAAGUCUCCCAAAUUUGCCUCAUCCUUGAUGGAAAAUGGGUGACUCUCAACUCCUGCUUCUAGGCUGCAAGGGAUGAAGGAAGGCACUGGAACCCUGGGGGAUAGAUGCUUGCUCAUUGUCUCAAUGUCACAGCUCUCCUCCUACAACCUACUGCCCCAGGAAAGGCAUGCUUUGCUUGUGUUGGUGGGAGGUGCAAAGUCUGAGCAAUCCACAACAGACCAUCUGAAAUAAUUUUCCCAGGUAGCAGAAUAAGCAUCUAGCCAGGCAUUGCACUGCUUUUCAAAGAGCUUCUCCUGAAAGAUAGUGAAAUUUGAUAAAUAGCGCGCUAUUUAAGACAAGAUGUUUUCAAACAACUGGGCCAAAUCAGCAAAAUGGAACCAUAUGCUCCAUGAAGACCACCUUCAUGUUCCUUGCAUGAAUCUGACGCUGGGCAUCUGGACAGAGGUGGGGGGCACUGACCAUGCCAAGAUCUGGUCCAGCCUAAGGAAUGUCUCUGACUUCUCCUUCUCUCUUGGCCCGCAUCACCAAUCUACAAAGACAUUUGUGCCCCUGAGCCUGGAUCUCCUCAGGUCAGUGCUCUUUGGCAGAUACUAUGACUGGAUCAAGACUGGCCUGGGAAUUAAAACCUAUUUGUCAUUCCGGAUCAUGUAUUUACAAAUACAUGUGGCAGGCUGUGAAAUUGGAUGCUUCCACCUAGAGUCCCAGGUACAAUAA
rnacentral:lncRNA from 12 species